rnacentral:rRNA from 1 species
UUGUAAGCAGCCGCGGUAAUACGAAGGGGGCUAGCGUUGUUCGGAAUUACUGGGCGUAAAGCGCACGUAGGCGGAUACUUAAGUCAGGGGUGAAAUCCCGGGGCUCAACCCCGGAACUGCCUUUGAUACUGGGUAUCUCGAGUCCGGAAGAGGUGAGUGGAAUUCCGAGUGUAGAGGUGAAAUUCGUAGAUAUUCGGAGGAACACCAGUGGCGAAGGCGGCUCACUGGUCCGGUACUGACGCUGAGGUGCGAAAGCGUGGGGAGCAAACAGGAUUAGAAACCCUAGUAGUCC